ACUGAACUGGGACAGGAACGUGACUGGACUGUACUGGAACCUGGACAGGAACGUGACUGGACUGUACUGGAACCUGGACAGGAACGUGACUGGACUGUACUGGAACCUGGACAGGAACGUGACUCGACUGUACUGGGGCCGGAACAGGAACGUGACUCGACUGAACUGGGGCCGGAACAGGAACAGGACUCGACUGAACUGGGGCCGGAACAGGAACAGGACUCGACUGAACUGGGGCCGGAACAGGACUCGACUGAACUGGGGCCGGAACAGGACUCGACUGACCUGGGGCCGGAACAGGACUCGACUGACCUGGGGCCGGAACAGGACUCGACUGACCUGGGGCCGGAACAGGACUCGACUGAACUGGGGCCGGAACUGGGCUCGACUGAACUGGGCUCGACUGAACUGGGCUCGACUGAACUGGGCUCGACUGAACUGGGCUCGACUGAACUGGGCUCGACUGAACUGGAGACUGAACUGCGCGCGGCUGGCCUGGAGACUGAACAGCGCGCGGCUGGCCUGGAGACUGAACAGCGCGCGGCUGGCCUGGAGACUGAACAGCGCGCGGCUGGCCUGGAGACUGAACAGCGCGCGGCUGGCCUGGAGACUGAACAGCGCGCGGCUGGCCUGGAGACUGAACAGCGCGCGGCUGGCCGGGAGACUGAACAGCGCGCGGCUGGCCGGGAGACUGAACAGCGCGCGGCUGGCCUGGAGACUGAACAGCGCGCGGCUGGCCUGGAGACUGAACAGCGCGCGGCUGGACUGGAGACUGAACAGCGCGCGGCUGGACUGGAGACUGAACAGCGCGCGGCUGGACUGGAGACUGAACAGCGCGCGGCUGGACUGGAGACUGAACAGAACGUGACUGGGCGGAGACCUGAGCAUGGCAAGGCUGAGCUGGAACCUGAACGAGGGGCGACUGAACUACGACUGGAGUCUGAACAGGACAUGGCUGCACUAGGGCUGGAGACUGAGCGUGGCUUGACUGACCUGACUGAGAGGUGGGACAUGAAGCGGCUGCUGGCUGCAGGCCCGGGAGUUGCAGGACCUCUCGCAGGACAGGUUCCCUCAGGACGAGAGCGGCUGCUUCCUCGAACAGUUGUUCUCUCGUGCCCUGGUCUGCUGCCGAAUCGGCGGUGUUCAGGAGGUGGGCAAAGAGGAACGUAA
rnacentral:lncRNA from 1 species